rnacentral:rRNA from 1 species
UACGUAGGUGGCAAGCGUUGUCCGGAAUUAUUGGGCGUAAAGCGCGCGCAGGCGGUCCUUUAAGUCUGAUGUGAAAGCCCACGGCUCAACCGUGGAGGGUCAUUGGAAACUGGGGGACUUGAGUGCAGGAGAGAAGAGUGGAAUUCCACGUGUAGCGGUGAAAUGCGUAGAGAUCGGGAGGAACACCUGUGGCGAAGGCGGCCGACUGGGCCGACCCUGACGCUGAGGCGCGAAGGCGUGGGGAGCGAACGGG